rnacentral:rRNA from 1 species
CUGCGGUAAUUUGACCGUGCAAAGGUAGCAUAAUCAAUAGUCUUUUAAUUGGAGGCUUGAAUGAACGGUUUGAUGGAAGAAAAUCUGUCUCUUCAGUUAGGUUGAAUUUAACUUUUGUGUGAAAAGGCAUAAAUGGUUUAAAGUGACGAUAAGACCCUAUAAAACUUUACGUGUUUUAAUUGUUUGAUUAAAUUGUUUAGUUAAUGGUUAGAUGGUUAGUUGCGUUUUGCUGGGGCGGCAGGAAUAUAAUAUUAACUGUUUUAAGCAUAAAAUAUUUAUAAAUAGAAAAUGGUCCUUUAUUUAAGAGGUGAGAGUAAGUUACUUUAGGGAUAACAGCAUAAUUUCUCUUGAGAGUUCUUAUCGAAGGAGAUAGUUGUGACCUCGAUGUUGAAUUAAA